CCUACGGGAGGCAGCAGUGGGGAAUAUUGCACAAUGGGCGCAAGCCUGAUGCAGCGACGCCGCGUGAGGGAUGACGGCCUUCGGGUUGUAAACCUCUUUCAGUAGGGAAGAAGCGAAAGUGACGGUACCUGCAGAAGAAGCGCCGGCUAACUACGUGCCAGCAGCCGCGGUAAUACGUAGGGCGCAAGCGUUAUCCGGAAUUAUUGGGCGUAAAGAGCUCGUAGGCGGUUUGUCGCGUCUGCCGUGAAAGUCCGGGGCUCAACUCCGGAUCUGCGGUGGGUACGGGCAGACUAGAGUGAUGUAGGGGAGACUGGAAUUCCUGGUGUAGCGGUGAAAUGCGCAGAUAUCAGGAGGAACACCGAUGGCGAAGGCAGGUCUCUGGGCAUUAACUGACGCUGAGGAGCGAAAGCAUGGGGAGCGAACAGGAUUAGAUACCCUGGUAGUCCAUGCCGUAAACGUUGGGCACUAGGUGUGGGGGACAUUCCACGUUUUCCGCGCCGUAGCUAACGCAUUAAGUGCCCCGCCUGGGGGAGGUACGGCCGCGAGACGUAAACUUAAAUAGAAGUAGACGGCGUGAGACGUGCCGACGGACGACGACGAGGGAGGUAGG
rnacentral:rRNA from 1 species